rnacentral:miRNA from 1 species
UCAGGAAAAGGUUAAAUUUGUG